rnacentral:rRNA from 1 species
AUUGAACGCUGGCGGCAUGCCUUACACAUGCAAGUCGAACGGUAACGCGGGGCAACCUGGCGACGAGUGGCGAACGGGUGAGUAAUGCAUCGGAACGUGCCCAGUAGUGGGGGAUAGCCCGGCGAAAGCCGGAUUAAUACCGCAUACGACCUACGGGUGAAAGCGGGGGACCGUAAGGCCUCGCGCUAUUGGAGCGGCCGAUGUCAGGUUAGGUUGUUGGUGGGGUAAAGGCCUACCAAGCCGACGAUCUGUAGCUGGUCUGAGAGGACGACCAGCCACACUGGGACUGAGACACGGCCCAGACUCCGACGGGAGGCAGCAGUGGGGAAUUUUGGACAAUGGGGGCAACCCUGAUCCAGCCAUGCCGCGUGCGGGAAGAAGGCCUUCGGGUUGUAAACCGCUUUUGUCAGGGAAGAAACGCUCUGGACUAAUACCCCGGGGUAAUGACGGUACCUGAAGAAUAAGCACCGGCUAACUACGUGCCAGCCGCCGCCGUAACAC